rnacentral:lncRNA from 1 species
UUUAAAUAAUAUAAUUAAUUGUUAAAUUCAAAAGAAAAACAUUUAUAUUAAUUAUAUACAAAUAUUUUUUAGUCAAUUUAUCCUCAUAGAUCAUCCAUCAAUCUAAUCCAAGUCUACCUAUCAGCUUAUCUAUCAUCACCGAUAUUUCCUGUUUCUAUCAAACACAAUUUGAAAACGCAAAUGACUACAUGUCUAUCAUCGAAGAAAUAUUUUCCAGACAUUAACCCUGAGCCACCAUCUAAAAAAUGUAUCCCUAACUGUCGUCUAAGUUCUCACCACUAGCUCUUAUAUAUAUAUAUAUACAUAAAACGAACAAUUCCGCAAACCAGCUGACCGAACAAACGCGCACGUAUCGUUAGAUAACCGCAAAAAGAAGGGGCUACGUGAAAGGACUCCUGCUCGGCUGAUCUCCUGGAAGCACCGUUCGUUUAUCCGCUUGCUGUCGUUUCGCCGUACGGAGGCGAACUCGUUGCCAGGCAGCCCCGAACGAACGGGCUCUCGAGUUCUUUCCAGGUUUAUCCAGCUUCAUCUUCCAAGCACCAAGUUCGUUAUGGUAUAAUCAAGACAUUUGACGAUGAGGACGAAGAAAAUGAUGAUGAUGAUGAUGAUGAUAGCGUUGAUGAGAAAACAAUGAUGAUUUCUAACGUUAAGUCAGAGAAGCUGUUCUCUUCUGUCUUUCAACUUUGAAACCGUUUGCACGAGUUACUUUUUACGUUGAUCGUCCUUGGUCAGGAGAUACGCAUCAUCUUUUACCGUUCAAGGCCAGCGAAUUGACGGAAACUAAGCGCAAAAGAAAAAAAAGGAAGAAAAGAAUAGGAAGUAAUAGAAAGAAAAAGGAUGUUGAUGUAUAUAAGGAACGAACGUGAAAGAACAAUCCGAACACUUUGAACGUCGUCACACGACUGAACAGCCAUUCGAGACUUUCACUUGGGGGUAUCGUGAAGAGAACGUCGUCGUCGUCGUCGUCGUCGUCGUCGUCGUCGUCAGCGUGCUCUUCGUCGUCGAGGAACGUAUAAACCCUUCUUUCCUCUUCUUAAACUUCUCUCUCUCUCUCUCUCACCUCACCACAAUUUGGUUAUCGACGCCCACGCUCUUCGUAAACUGAAUCACGAUCGAGUUCUCUCAGUGCACGGAGUAAAUCCUUCACUCCGUGGAGUUUGUUGUUGAGGAGACGUUACUCGAACUACUUGCUUGCUCUUCCGAGUUUUAUUUCAAAUCAAGAAACGUUAAAUGUUAAUGACCAACAGCGUUUCAAGUUAAUUCAAAUAAUUUCAACACUUUUUUUUUUUUUUAUUUCAAACAAUAACGAAGAAUACUAUCUUAUUUUUCUUUCUUUCUUUUUUUCGAAAUUUUUAUUAACUCGUUAUGAUUAAAUAACUGAUCAAUUGAAUCUCAAGAAAAUACUUAUUUUGAAAAGAAACAUCCGUCUUCUUAUUCUUUCUAAGAGUUUUAAUCAAGAUAAGAAACGUUUGAAAGUUAAGCGAUAUGAAACGGAAACGGCUUACGUAAACUUUUUCUAUUUUUUUUUUCUUUCUUUCUCCAUUAUUUUCUAGUACAAAAUUCAUGUUGAUAUAUUAAGAAAUCUUUUUACAUAUAUAUAUAUAUAUGUAUAUUAUUCUGAUGCAGGCGAAGAGUAGUGAAACAAAGGAGAAGAGAAGCCUCUCUCCUUCGUGUUCAUCGUGAUAGUCCAGUAAUCGACGCGUAAUCGAAGCAGGUUUUAACCAGGCGUCUACCUCUCCUGGCAUAAUCUGACUUUCCAUCGUUAUACAGUUACUCGAGGGUGAAAGGUGAACCCUAGCUCCCUUCCAUCUCUUGCCGACAAGAGUCCUGAAUUCAUAAAGUGAAUCGACGAAGAAAAGAUCGUCUUCCUUCCUGUUUUUAUUAUCAAUCAAAAAUUAAUUUUUUUCUUUGUUUUUUUUCUCUCCUUUUUUUAAGAAAAUAAGCAUAACAAAACUAACUAAAUAAAACACAAUAUAAAAUUUAGGAAAUAUCUUUUGAAUAAUCUUGAUCAACAAACUAGCCUUGCGCUCAUUUCAAGAAACGAUCUUAUCCUGUGUAGAAUAAUAAAGGGACUUCACAACAUGUCCCUGAAUAAUAGAAAAUCAAAAUCUAACUUCUCUUUAAUCUAUCUCUUACUAUUCGAUCAACGUAUAUAACAUUCAUUAUUCUUUUUUCUUUUUCUUUGAUUUUUGUUCAGGUAUACAACAUACAUGUACUAUGCCCGACGAAAGUGACAUCAUAUUCUCUUCACGAACCAGUUCUCAUUGACUCUUAAAUACCGGUUUUCUUCGAUGGAACCUUCGCAGUAUUCUACACUCUUAACGGCGUUGUUGUUCAUCGGGUGAGGUCGUAACCUUAGGAGCUCCUAUGUUUUACGAAAUUAGGCAAGGCAACUAAAGACAUGGAUGACAUUAUUCAUAAGAGAGUGCAACGAAUUUGUAGAAAAUCGAUGAAACGACGUUGGUUAUUUAUUUAUCAUCGAAUCGCUUUCUCCAUUAAAAAUAUCUUUCUUUAUUCUUCAUGAACGAACGAAGAAACAACAUUACCGUAUGUAUGAAACAAUGCCCUCUCCGUUUUGUUUUCAGUUUGUAAGGCGGCUAGUGUAUACGCUAGACCGAGCAGAAACCUCAAGUUGCAUUACAUAAGAGAAAAGUGUAACCAACCCUCUUCCUCCACCUCCACUUCCAUUUCUACCUCCUCUACCUACCAUCUCUACCUCCACCUCCACCUUUUCUUCUUCUUCUUCUUCUUCCUUUUUUAUACACUUCUUCUUAUUUCUUUUUUUUUUCUACUUGGGCAGCGUGUUUGCUAUCGGAUCCUCGUAUUGUGGGCGUCCAGACGAAUUUAACACAAGUCGAACACUUUCACAAAAGCAACACGUUGAAAUAAUCAUAGACAAGUUAAAUAUUAUAAGGAUCUAAUCAUAUUAUGAUAAUAUUGUAAUAGGUCAUUAAACUUAAAGAGAGAGAGAGAAAAGACAAUAAUAUUUCGAAAGUAUUAUAAAUUAAAUUGUGUAGUAAGAUAAUUAUGGUUCCUUUUACUUAAUUGAUUAUUUCAUUUUUUUUCUUUGGGGAUGAAUUUCUUUUUUGUUAAGUUUCGUAUUUGAUAACAUUUAUAACAUCUUGUCAUACACUUUUUUGCAUUUACUUUUGAUUUCGAUGAUAGAUUAACUUUUCUCUUUUAUAAAUGAUGUAUUAUUAUCUAUUAUGAUUGGUAUAUUACCUUCUCGAUCUCUCUCUCUCCCUCUCUCUCUCUCUCUCUCUCAAUUUUCAUUGAUCUCUCGGUAGUUUGAUAUAAAUUUGAUUCGCAAUUAAUGCGAAUCCAUAGAGCUCUCUCUUACAUUGGAGAAAAUUCUCUCUCGAUUUCGUUUCUCUUUUCAAUCUGAGCAAAAGUUGAGAAUCAUUUCUUACAAGUGGUUUAUGAUGACACUCUCUCUCUCUCUCUCUCUCUUUCUCUAUAUCUUUCUAAUCCCAAUUGUAUGCGACUUUCGCGUCUAUUAAUUUUCUUUUUUAAGAUAAAAUCACACAGAAAUCCUUCCAAAUGAACGAAUUACUACUCGUUUCUAUCUUCGAACGUGUGAAAGUAAAAUAUGACAGUAGACAUCAAAUUUAUAUACUGUGGGUGUACUUCCUCCUGUAAUCCUCCUUUCUUUUGAUCAUAUCUAAUUUCAUUUCUGUUGAGAUCAAUUUUAUAACGAUCAAAUGAGCAUAUGUUUCGAUUCAUUUGUUAUUUUUUUUUUUUGGUUUCUUAGGAAGUACACGAAGAUAUCCGAUGAUCUUAGCAAUGGUUACUUUCACACGAAAUGGAGUGAGUCGUUUGCGGUUGAGAGACUUGGAUCUUCUAAAGGAAAAGAUAGAACCUUAAGAAGACGACGAGGAUGCGGUGUACCAAAGGAGAAGAAGAAGAAGAAGAAGAAGAAGAAGAAGAAGAAGAAGAAAAAUAAGAAGAAGAAGUUGUCUUUGUGAUAUAUAAUUUAAUGCUCGACCAUCGAACGGUAAUAUCUUUGACUGCAGACGUAGACACUUAUAUACAUACGUUUAUUUAUCUUUUACAUUUGCAUACUUUUCUCGUUAAUUAUUAUUCUAGACGUUCGAAAGAAUAAAAUAGAUGACUAAGUCGUUUUACAUACAUAGGACGUUAAAACAAAAUAGAAGACUACCUUCAAGUAAUUUUCCUUCAGAAGAAUUCAUCUCUCUCUCUCUCUCUCCUUUCUUUCUUUUAUUUUCUUAUCAUAUAUUUUGGUAAAAGUAUUAAAACCUAAGAAGAAAUAUUGUUCUGCUCGAAUGCUUACCGAGUCUAUAAUUUUCUCGUUUUAAAGCGAUUGUCACCGUUUGUUCCAAUUCAAUGGGUUGACGUUCCCAAUAUGAUUUAUUAUUUGAAACUGUCGAUACAAAAUUCACUAUCUCCGUACACACAUCGGAUACUAUAUACUGGAUGUUGUGCGAAACCGUUAUGCAACCUGCAGUACGUAAGCUGGCGGUCUUUGCUCGCCUGGAUUCCAGUUGGCCUGUCCUCUUAUAUUGUGUCCUGCGUAUAAGUAAGAACAUUCAGGACAACAGGAUGAAGAAGAACGAUGUGUGCAUAGAUUGAAGAUUCUAAAAUCAAUAUGACGUUAGUAACUCAUUGCGAGG